rnacentral:rRNA from 1 species
AUUGAACGCUGGCGGCAGGCCUAACACAUGCAAGUCGAGCGGAUGAAGGGAGCUUGCUCCUGGAUUCAGCGGCGGACGGGUGAGUAAUGCCUAGGAAUCUGCCUGGUAGUGGGGGAUAACGUCCGGAAACGGGCGCUAAUACCGCAUACGUCCUGAGGGAGAAAGUGGGGGAUCUUCGGACCUCACGCUAUCAGAUGAUCCUAGGUCGGAUUAGCUAGUUGGUGGGGUAAGGGCCUACCAAGGCGACGAUCCGUAACUGGUCUGAGAGGAUGAUCAGGCACACUGGAACUGAGACACGGUCCAGACUCCUACGGGAGGCAGCAGUGGGGAAUAUUGGACAAUGGGGGAAAGCCUGAUCCAGCCAUGCCGCGUGUGUGAAGAAGGUCUUCGGAGUGGAAAGCACUUUAAGUUGGGAGGAAGGGCAGUAAGUUAAUACCUUGCUGUGUUGACGUUACCAACAGAAUAAGCACCGGCUAACUUCGUG